rnacentral:lncRNA from 1 species
UGUGUGUGUGUGUGUGUGUGUAACCAGUGACUCCCUAGGGCACUGCAGCCUUCCAGUUCGCUUACCACAUUUCUGAUAGCAUGCCUAGACGGGUGUGAAUGUGACCUACAUCUUACGACAGUUCAGCAGUGUCCCCCAUCCCCUUCUUGACAGCACCCAUUUCUGAGUUGCACGGUUAGGCAUUAAGCGUAAGGUAAUUGUCAGGCUUGGGGCAGGGGGCAGUGAGCUCAGUGGUGGAGCUUGCUUGUGGGGCUCUGAGUUUGUCCCAAACAAACAAAGCAAUGGGUGAAUUGUCUGUAAUCUCUGACCACAUCACUGUCGCUCUUUAUAAGAAAUAGAACAGGAGAAGAAAACUGUAGGGAACAAAUGUGAAAACAAACAAACAAACAAAAAAACAAAAAACCCACAGUAGCGAAUAUGUGUUUCUACUAAACCCAGAAGAACAUGUGCAUUCAACUGUCACUGUGAAAUAAUUAUAUAUUUUACAAAUUAAUUAUUCCAAUAGCCAGUAUCUUACUGUGUUAUUAAACCUUAUCUUUUAGUAGUAGAUGCAGUAUUUCUUUUCUUUUUAUGUUUUAUUUUUAAUUUAGGAUUAGCCUCUUGUAUUUGUUUAGUUGUGUUUUUAGCUAUUUGGGAUACUUUUCUCCCUUGAUAUUUAUGAAGUCCACGUUUAUGAUUAAAUAUAGUGGCUGGGUUCACAUUAAUAAUUCGUGUGUGGUCCACAUACACGUGCUAAGAGGAUGUACACUGUGGUAUAGUCACCGUGGUUAUGGAUUUAUUGGCAGUGGGGGACUGUGCAGUGCAGGUCAGCCAGUUCUAUGGCUAACAGUGACUCUUCUGUUCCAGGCCUCAGGCCCCUGAGGGUCCCAAUGACUCAGGGAACCCAUCACAGUCCAGGGCCCUUCACCACGAUCACUCUUUAUGUUUGGCCUACGUGAGCCAUGCUGCCUUGUCUCAGCAGCUGAAGACCUGGGGGUCUAAAUGAGCCGGUCUUUGUUUAUGUCCAGCAUGAGUAAAAUGUCCAGACCACUUAAGCCACAGCUGCUUUUCUGGCAGUCUUAUCUGCAGGGACGAAACUUAAUAAACCACAGGAAAUAAGACUGUCAUUCCGUGUUUGCUGCCAGGCCUUGUUUUACAUCCACAGUGCAUGGUGCAUGGGAGCUGGGGCUGUUCGCUCUUAGUUUCAACCCACAGGCUAUCUGGCACCUCCUGUAGAACUCGCAAUUUUUCAUGCACAGCACAGUUGCCUCUCUUAGCUGUUUCAUUUACACAGUGUAAAACUGAGACCCGUUGAAAGUAUGGAAAAGACCACUGAUUCUGUUUACCAUCUGCCUUGCCCAACUGUAGACUGUCACCAAAACCCUUUAAUGCCUGGACUUAAAAAAAACAGUCUCACUGAAAAGUCUUUUCAGUGAGAAAUGGAUAAAUGUUAUACAUUGUUACAUUCAAUUAUGUCAAUAAACCCACAUACUG